UACAGAGGGGGCAAGCGUUGUUCGGAAUUACUGGGCGUAAAGGGCGCGUAGGCGGCCGGCUAAGUCGAACGUGAAAUCCCCGGGCUCAACCCGGGAACUGCGUCCGAUACUGGCAGGCUUGAAUCCGGGAGAGGGAUGCGGAAUUCCAGGUGUAGCGGUGAAAUGCGUAGAGAUCGGGAGGAAUACCGGUGGCGAAAGCGACUCUCUGGACGGCAACUGACGCUGAGGCACGAAAGCGUGGGGAGCAAACAGG
rnacentral:rRNA from 1 species